CCUACGGGAGGAUGCAGUGGGGAAUAUUGGACAAUGGGGGCAACCCUGAUCCAGCCAUGCCGCAUGUGUGAAGAAGGCCCUCGGGUUGUAAAGCACUUUCAGUGAGGAAGAACGCCUGGUGGUUAAUACCCAUCAGGAAAGACAUCACUCACAGAAGAAGCACCGGCUAACUCCGUGCCAGCAGCCGCGGUAAUACGGAGGGUGCGAGCGUUAAUCGGAAUUACUGGGCGUAAAGCGCGCGUAGGUGGCUUGAUAAGCCGGUUGUGAAAGCCCCGGGCUCAACCUGGGAACGGCAUCCGGAACUGUCAAGCUAGAGUGCAGGAGAGGAAGGUAGAAUUCCCGGUGUAGCGGUGAAAUGCGUAGAGAUCGGGAGGAAUACCAGUGGCGAAGGCGGCCUUCUGGACUGACACUGACACUGAGGUGCGAAAGCGUGGGUAGCAAACAGGAUUAGAUACCCGGGUAGUC
rnacentral:rRNA from 1 species